rnacentral:rRNA from 1 species
UUUAAAAUGAGAGUUUGAUCCUGGCUCAGGAUGAACGCUGGCGGCGUGCCUAAUACAUGCAAGUC